GUCUCAGCGUUCCUCGUUUUACUUCGAGGAAAUGAUGACAAUAUUACAAAGUGCCGCGGUUCUUUACAUUCUGCUCUGGAUGUCACGUCACUGCAGCUCCAUCCUAGUUCAACAGUCGCCCAGGAUACUUAACAAGAGACCCGGUGAAUCGGCAGAGCUUUAUUGCCAUCAGGACAGCAGCUACCCCGACAUGUACUGGUACCAACAGCCAGGGGGUCGCGGUGGGCUGAAGCUCAUGACCUACUCCUAUAGCACUGGCGAUCCUACGGAUGAAGACGAGUUUAAAGGCAGAUUAAACACCACCCGGGAAGGAGCUCAGAAAGGCUGGCUCACCAUCAAAAGCUUAAAAGUCACCGACACGGGAUUGUAUUUCUGCGCAGCAAGUAUGCACAGCGACACAGCUCUGCUGAGUAGGAUGCAGAAAACUCCCCCAAGCUGUUAUUGUUACAUCUUCUUGCAGUCUUUGCUACUCGGUUCUGUUUUUAACAAAUACAAGCAUUAACACUGAUACCAUCAAUCUGGUAACAAAAGAUUAACGGUACGAGACAUUUAAGAAGGUCCCUCCUCUGGUCGAGUAAUAGAGCUCCCCAGCAUCCAUUUCAGCACUGUGUCACUCUGACCAAGUAAUUUAACUAGAGUGAAAUCCAGGGUCGCCUCUGAAAAGAAGCUUGUGCUUAGCAGGUGUACUCUUAACAAAUGAAUGACAUAAAUGUUUGCUGCAUGUCUUCGAUGAAGUAUAUAUAGUCGUAAUUAAAAAAGCUGAAUACUUAUUAGAUUAAAACAAUUUAGGUGUUAAAAAAGUGACCGUAUAUAUGACUGAAUGCUGCUAUGUGUAAAUUUAAAAUGACCAAAUUAAAGUUUUAUAUACUGUAGGGA